rnacentral:tRNA from 1 species
GGGCCCUUAGCUCAGUUGGUUAGAGCAACCGGCUCAUAACCGGACGGUCCCAGGUUCGAGUCCUGGAGGGCCCACCG